AUACGUAGGGAGCGAGCGUUAUCCGGAUUUACUGGGCGUAAAGGGCGUGUAGGCGGUCUUGCAAGUCAGAAGUGAAAUUCCUGAGCUCAACUCGGGCGCUGCUUCUGAAACUGCAGGACUUGAGUGCUGGAGGGGAUAGCGGAAUUCCUAGUGGAGCGGUAAAAUGCGCAGAUAUUAGGAAGAACACCGGUGGCGAAGGCGGCUAUCUGGACAGUAACUGACGCUGAGUAUCGAAAGCGUGGGGAGCAAACAGGAUGAGAUACCCAGGUAGUCCACGCCGUGAACGAUGAAUACUAGGUGUAGGGGGUAUCGACUCCCUCUGUGCCGCAGUUAACACAAUAAGUAUUCCGCCUGGGGAGUACGGCCGCAAGGUUGAAACUCAAAUGAAUUGACGGGG
rnacentral:rRNA from 1 species